rnacentral:lncRNA from 1 species
UUGGAUUAAGUUUCUGAGUUUAAACUCUCUGUUCUCUUUAGAACUUGUUUUCGAUUGUCUUGGUGAGUCAUAUCCGAGCAAUUCACUUCUCAACUAGUUGGUCUUGUGAGUCAUAUCAAGCAACCAGUUCGAGAUCUUCCUUGGCGGACUUGUGAGUCAUAUCAAGCGCCAUUGAAGUCGGGAAUAUCAAGGGAACAUCCGCAACCCUUGUGCGACCCAACGUUCCAUCAGUUCUCCUUUCCGGAGUUCAUAUCCAAACGAAUCCAGUCGAGGGCAAUCCGAUCUUAGGGUCCUUCAAGUGGUAUCAGAGCCACUCUUCUGGUAUUCUCUAGCUCGAUCCAUCUUCUCAUCUUCCAUUUUCUUCUAAACACUUCUUCAUCUGUCUAUCUUGAAUCCGGGCCCCUCAAUACCAUCCACUUAUAAAAAAAAAAAAAAAAAAAAAAGCAAGACCAGCAAGAUCCAUAAAAAAAAAAAAAAAAAAAGAAAGAGUUUACUUUGUGGAUUGGUGGUGGAAGAGGAAGCCUGCUGGCUGAGGAGA